CGCGGGGUAGAGCAGUUGGUAGCUCGUCGGGCUCAUAACCCGGAGGUCGCUGGUUCAAGUCCAGCCCCCGCCACCA
rnacentral:tRNA from 2 species